rnacentral:rRNA from 1 species
GUUCUCUCGAAUUGUUAAUUUGAGGUUUGGCCUGCUCACUGAUUAAUAUUAAAGAGCCGCGGUAUAUUAACCGUGCAAAGGUAGCAUAAUCAUUAGUUUCUUAAUUAGAGGCUGGUAUGAAUGGUUUGACGAGAAAUCUACUGUCUCUUAUUAAAUUUUUGAAUUUAACUUUUAAGUUAAAAGGCUUAAAUUUUUUUUUAGGACGAGAAGACCCUAUAGAGCUUAACAUUUUACUUUUAUAUGUUUUUUGGUUAAUUUUUUCAUAUAUAAUGUUGAUGUUUUGUUGGGGUGGCAUGAAGGAUUAAUAAACUCUUCAUUAUAAUAUCAUUUAUUUAUGUAAAUUUAAUGAUCCAUAAUUUUUGAUUAUAAGAUUAAGUUACCUUAGGGAUAACAGCGUAAUUGCUUUUGAGAGCUCAUAUCGACAAAGCAGAUUGCGACCUCGAUGUUGGAUUAAGAAAAAUGUUGGGUGCAGUAAUUCAAUAAUUAGGUCUGUUCGACCUUUAAAUUCUU